UACGUAGGGUGCAAGCGUUAAUCGGAAUUACUGGGCGUAAAGCGUGCGCAGGCGGUUUUGUAAGUCUGACGUGAAAUCCCCGGGCUCAACCUGGGAAUUGCGUUGGAGACUGCAAGGCUAGAAUCUGGCAGAGGGGGGUAGAAUUCCACGUGUAGCAGUGAAAUGCGUGAGAGAUGUGGAGGAACACCGAUGGCGAAGGCAGCCCCCUGGGGUCAAGAUUGACGCUCAUGCCACGAAAGCGUGGGGAG
rnacentral:rRNA from 1 species